GACGAACGUUGGCGGCGUGCUUAACACAUGCAAGUCGAACGGAAAGGCCCUGCUUUUGUGGGGUGCUCGAGUGGCGAACGGGUGAGUAACACGUGAGUAACCUGCCCUUGACUUUGGGAUAACUUCAGGAAACUGGGGCUAAUACCGGAUAGGAGCUCCUGCUGCAUGGUGGGGGUUGGAAAGUUUCGGCGGUUGGGGAUGGACUCGCGGCUUAUCAGCUUGUUGGUGGGGUAGUGGCUUACCAAGGCUUUGACGGGUAGCCGGCCUGAGAGGGUGACCGGCCACAUUGGGACUGAGAUACGGCCCAGACUCCUACGGGAGGCAGCAGUGGGGAAUAUUGCACAAUGGGCGGAAGCCUGAUGCAGCAACGCCGCGUGCGGGAUGACGGCCUUCGGGUUGUAAACCGCUUUCGCCUGUGACGAAGCGUGAGUGACGGUAAUGGGUAAAGAAGCACCGGCUAACUACGUGCCAGCAGCCGCGGUGAUACGUAGGGUGCGAGCGUUGUCCGGAUUUAUUGGGCGUAAAGGGCUCGUAGGUGGUUGAUCGCGUCGGAAGUGUAAUCUUGGGGCUUAACCCUGAGCGUGCUUUCGAUACGGGUUGACUUGAGGAAGGUAGGGGAGAAUGGAAUUCCUGGUGGAGCGGUGGAAUGCGCAGAUAUCAGGAGGAACACCAGUGGCGAAGGCGGUUCUCUGGGCCUUUCCUGACGCUGAGGAGCGAAAGCGUGGGGAGCGAACAGGCUUAGAUACCCUGGUAGUCCACGCUGUAAACGGUGGGUACUAGGUGUGGGGUCCAUUCCACGGGUUCCGUGCCGUAGCUAACGCUUUAAGUACCCCGCCUGGGGAGUACGGCCGCAAGGCUAAAACUCAAAGGAAUUGACGGGGCCCCGCACAAGCGGCGGAGCAUGCGGAUUAAUUCGAUGCAACGCGUAGAACCUUACCUGGGUUUGACAUGGAUCGGGAGUGCUCAGAGAUGGGUGUGCCUCUUUUGGGGUCGGUUCACAGGUGGUGCAUGCCUGUCGUCAGCUCGUGUCGUGAGAUGUUGGGUUAAGUCCCGCAACGAGCGCAACCCUUGUUCACUGUUGCCAGCACGUUAUGGUGGGGACUCAGUGGAGACCGCCGGGGUCAACUCGGAGGAAGGUGGGGAUGACGUCAAGUCCUCAUGCCCCUUAUGUCCAGGGCUUCACGCAUGCUACAAUGGCUGGUACAGAGAGUGGCGAGCCUGUGAGGGUGAGCGAAUCUCGGAAAGCCGGUCUCAGUUCGGAUUGGGGUCUGCAACUCGACCUCAUGAAGUCGGAGUCGCUAGUAAUCGCAAAUCAGCAACGCUGCGGUGAAUACGUUCCCGGG
rnacentral:rRNA from 1 species